rnacentral:rRNA from 1 species
UACGGAGGGGGCUAGCGUUGUUCGGAAUUACUGGGCGUAAAGCGCGCGUAGGCGGCUUUGUAAGUUAGAGGUGAAAGCCCGGAGCUCAACUCCGGAAUUGCCUUUAAGACUGCAUCGCUAGAAUCAUGGAGAGGUGAGUGGAAUUCCGAGUGUAGAGGUGGAAUUCGUAGAUAUUCGGAGGAACACCAGUGGCGAAGGCGGCUCACUGGCUCGGUACUGACGCUGAGGUGCGAAAGCGUGGGGAGCAAACAGG